rnacentral:lncRNA from 1 species
CGGCGUGGCCGAUGGCAUACGUAACCUGCAAAGAGGUGAACCCAGAAUGCAUGCAAGCUAGGAACACAUGCACGCACGUUUUCCCAGGUUCGGGCCACCCGGAGGUGUAAAACCCUACGUCCUGCUUGUCUGAGCUUGUAUUAUUGCAAAACCAAGUGUUUACAGGUUGCCGGGUGAGUUCCCGGGUACUCUCUCCCUUUGGCUAAGUGUUCCUUACCUUUCUCUGCCAAUGCUAGAGGCUAACAGUGAGCUGAUCGAAUCGAACCCAACCGAACCGAACCCUUUGACCGUCGGCGGGGGUCCUCCUUUUAUAGCUAAGGGGAUACCACAGGUGCCACGGUGCAUGGAUUACAAGUGGCGAGCAGGGAGAUAGGGCAACUGUAACAUCCCAAAAAUUCAAAACCUCUCAUAUGCAUUGCAUCCAUGAGCAUGUAACAUCCCAAAAUUUCAAACCUUUACAUCAGCAUUGCAUUCAUAAGCAUCAUGCCACAAUUGCAUAUUUGAAUUCAAAUUUGAAUCUCAAAAGGGCUUUGGAAAGAUUUUUGUUGCUUUUUAAACUCUAGGGUUUACACCCAUUUGAGCUUUGGAUCUUCAAACCAUUAAGGUUCAAGUAUAAAAGGGGUUUAUUGCAUAUAUAAGCUAUCCCAUAAUUUUUGGAUAAUUCUUUGGAGUUGGAAAAAAAAUUAUUUAAAUAGAUAUAUGGCCCUAAAGGCAUUUAUAGGGCAAAUGUAUAUUUAUAUAUUUUAUUUUGAAGACAAACUACUUCCAAAAGUUUUAUCAUGGUAGAACAUGAUUUUACAAGUUUUCUGGGAUUUAGUUAGACCAAUUUGGAGUUCAAAAUCAAAAGAUAUCAAAGAAAUAAGAAAAACAGAAAAAGAAAAGGGUAAAAGAAAAAAAAAAGGAGCAAACGGACCGGCCCGGCCGAAUUGGGCCGAACCGGCCCCGCUCCUCGUGCGCGCCCGCAGCCUCGCCGGCCCAUGCCCGUGUCCGCGCGCCCGCAUCCGCUGACAGGUGGGGCCCACCUGUCAGGGGCUUC